rnacentral:rRNA from 1 species
GAUGAACGCUGGCGGCGUGCCUAAAACAUGCCAGUCGAGCGAAAAGACGAGGAGUUUGUUCCGCUGUCGUUAGCCGCGGGCGGGUGAGUCACAUGUGGAUAACCCCCCUAUAAGACUGGGAUAACCUCGGGAAACCGGCGCAUAACCCUGAUAAUAUAUUGCAUCGCAUGGUUCCAUAGUGAAAUACGGUUUUUGUGUCACUUAUAGAUGGAUCCGCGCCGCAUUAGCUAGUUGGUAAGGUCACGGGUUACCAAGGCAACGAUGCGUAGCCGAGCUGCUAGGGUGGUCGGCCACACUGGAGCUGAGACACGGUCCAGACUCCUACGGGAGGCAGCAGUAGGGAAUCUUCCGCAAUGGGCGAAAGCCUGACGGAGCAACGCCGCGUGAGUGAUGAAGGUCUUCGGAUCGUAAAACUCUGUUAUUAGGGAAGAACAAAUGUGUAAGUAACUAUGCACGUCUUGACGGUACCUAAUCAGAAAGCCACGGCUAACUACGUG